CUCUGUGACUCCUACGGGAGGCAGCAGUGGGGAAUAUUGCACAAUGGGGGAAACCCUGAUGCAGCCAUGCCGCGUGUGUGAAGAAGGCCUUCGGGUUGUAAAGCACUUUCAGUAGGGAGGAAGGUAGUGUAGUUAACACCUGCACUAUUUGACGUUACCUACAGAAGAAGCACCGGCUAACUCCGUGCCAGCAGCCGCGGUAAUACGGAGGGUGCGAGCGUUAAUCGGAAUUACUGGGCGUAAAGCGCAUGCAGGCGGCCUGUUAAGUCAGAUGUGAAAGCCCGGGGCUUAACCUCGGAAUUGCAUUUGAAACUGGCAGGCUAGAGUCUUGUAGAGGGGGUAGAAUUUCAGGUGUAGCGGUGAAAUGCGUAGAGAUCUGAAGGAAUACCGGUGGCGAAGGCGGCCCCCUGGACAGAUACUGACACUCAGAUGCGAAAGCGUGGGGAGCAAACAGGAUUAGAUACCCUGUAG
rnacentral:rRNA from 1 species